rnacentral:rRNA from 1 species
UCUACGGGAGGCAGCAGUGGGGAAUAUUGCACAAUGGGCGCAAGCCUGAUGCAGCCAUGCCGCGUGUAUGAAGAAGGCCUUCGGGUUGUAAAGUACUUUCAGCGGGGAGGAAGGGAGUAAAGUUAAUACCUUUGCUCAUUGACGUUACCCGCAGAAGAAGCACCGGCUAACUCCGUG